rnacentral:rRNA from 1 species
GAUGAACGCUGGCGGCGUGCCUAAUACAUGCAAGUCGAGCGAACAGACGAGGAGCUUGCUCCUUUGACGUUAGCGGCGGACGGGUGAGUAACACGUGGGUAACCUACCUAUAAGACUGGGAUAACUUCGGGAAACCGGAGCUAAUACCGGAUAAUAUUUCGAACCGCAUGGUUCGAUAGUGAAAGGUGGCUUUGCUAUCACUUAUAGAUGGACCUGCGCCGUAUUAGCUAGUUGGUAAGGUAACGGCUUACCAAGGCAACGAUACGUAGCCGACCUGAGAGGGUGAUCGGCCACACUGGAACUGAGACACGGUCCAGACUCCUACGGGAGGCAGCAGUAGGGAAUCUUCCGCAAUGGGCGAAAGCCUGACGGAGCAACGCCGCGUGAGUGAUGAAGGUCUUCGGAUCGUAAAACUCUGUUAUUAGGGAAGAACAAACGUGUAAGUAACUGUGCACGUCUUGACGGUACCUAAUCAGAAAGCCGCGGCUAACUACGU